rnacentral:lncRNA from 1 species
AUAGAUCUUGACCUAAUGAACAUUUUUACCCCAUGUCAGAUUUGCUCUAAAUGCUUUCGUUUUUGAGAUAUAAGCCAAAUACUGCAUUUGACCCCUAUGUUCUAUUUUAAGUAACGGCGGCCAUGUUUUUUGACGGAUCAAAAAUCAAAGCGCACAUUUUGUGCAGGAUAUACUAAGGAACAAUCAUGUUAAGUUUCAUUCAAAUCCAUUCAGUAGUUUCAGAGGAGAAGAUGUUUGAAAAAUUGUUAACGACGACAGACGACGACGACGCCGGACGCCAAGUGAUGAGAAAAGCUCACAUGGCCUUUUAGGCCAGG